CCUACGGAUCACACGGCCACUCA
rnacentral:miRNA from 1 species